rnacentral:rRNA from 1 species
CAUGAACGCUGGCGGCGUGCCUAAUACAUGCAAGUAGAACGCCGACGGAGUAGCUUGCUGCUCUGAAUGAGUGGCGAACGGGUGAGUAACGCGUAGGUAACCUGCCCGGUAUCGGGGGAUAACUAUAGGAAACGAUAGCUACUACCGCAUGACAACCGACAUUGCAUGAUAACUGUUUAAAAGUGGCAACUGCUCCACUACCAGAUGGCGCUGCGUUGUAUUAGCUAGUUGGUGAGGUAACGGCUCACCAAGGCGAGGUUACAUAGCCGACCUGAGAGGGGGAGCGGCCACACUGGGACUGAGACACGGCCCAGACUCCUACGGGAGGCAGCAGGAGGGAAUCUUCGGCAAUGGACGGAAGUCUGGCCGAGCAACGCCGCGUGAGUGAAGAAGGUUUUCGGAUCGUAAAGCUCUGUUGUAAGAGAAGAACGAGUGUGAGAGUGGAAAGUUCACAGUGUGACGGUAGCUUACCAGAAAGGGACGGCUAACUACGUG